UGAGCAGCUUUGGACCCGUGUCUGCCGGUAGAUCCCCCGACUUGUACUGCGGCCGACUACCGGCGCCGUGUCCCGUCAAUCGUGUGACUUUCAGUCACUUGAAUAAUAGUGCUUGCGUGCUACUACCCGACCUACGGGAAGUGGUGCUUUGUAUAACUGUUGCAUCGCGGCGGACGCCCUUUGGGUGUGUCGCUGCGGCCGAAUAGCGCUUGCGGCGUUGCCUCGUAGUGCUGGCACAUAACGUGCCUCCUGCUAUCAAGGCAACCUCGUUCCCGUUCUUGGUCUUGGAUGUUGUUCACGAUAAAGGGUCGUGGCCCAUUCGGUUGCCUCGACCCGACACUAAGCUCUCCGAACUGAGAACAACCGGAAUGGAAGUUGCCUCUACCUCUCCACAGCUACGUGGUAGGAUAUGCGACUCUCUGCGCCGAUCCUCAAUGAAGAUGAGCAAUGCCGCUCAACAGCGACAACCGGCGUUGCUGUUGUCUGCGCGUUUCCACACAUGUGGAAGGGCAGGACGACAGCUGAUGCUGGGCGUCACCUAGGACGUGCU
rnacentral:misc_RNA from 1 species